rnacentral:rRNA from 1 species
GACGAACGCUGGCGGCGUGCUUAACACAUGCAAGUCGAGCGAUGAAAGCCUUAUGAACUAUUCGUAGUGAUUGAGGCCGGAUUAGCGGCGGACGGGUGAGUAACGCGUGAGCAACCUGCCUUAAACAACGGGAUAGCCUCGGGAAACCGGGAUUAAUACCGUAUGAGACCCCGCCUUCACAUGAAGAAGAGGUUAAAGAUUUAUCGGUUUAAGAUGGGCUCGCGCCUGAUUAGCUAGUUGGUGAGAUAAAGCCCACCAAGGCGACGAUCAGUACCCGGCUUGAGAGAGUGAACGGUCACAUUGGAACUGAGACACGGUCCAAACUCCUACGGGAGGCAGCAGUGGGGAAUAUUGCACAAUGGGGGAAACCCUGAUGCAGCGACGCCGCGUGAGCGAUGAAGGAAUUCGUUUCGUAAAGCUCUGUCCAAGGGGAAGAUAAUGACAGUACCCUUGGAGGAAGCCCCGGCUAAAUACGUGCCAGCCGCCGCGGUAA